rnacentral:rRNA from 1 species
UACGGAGGAUCCGAGCGUUAUCCGGAUUUAUUGGGUUUAAAGGGUGCGCAGGCGGGAUGUUAAGUCGGCGGUGAAAUUUUGCAGCUCAACUGUAAAAGUGCCUUCGAUACUGGCUUUCUUGAGUGUGGAUGAAGUAGGCGGAAUUUGUGGUGUAGCGGUGAAAUGCUUAGAUAUCACGAGGAACUCCGAUUGCGCAGGCAGCUUACUAAACCACUACUGACGCUCAUGCACGAAGGCGUGGGGAUCAAACAGGAUUAGAUACCCGGGUA